GGCCGCCCCUGGCGGGUCCCGCGGCUCCGGGAGCGCCGGGGGGUCCCCGGGCGGCCGGGAACGGGCUCGGAAGAGCCUUCGGACACAGAGAAAGGGGGUUUUGUGGUGCUGGAUCCCAGCGGAAAGAAGCGGCGCGGCGCCUGGGAAGCUAAUCUUAGAGUGGGCCGGGAAAUAGGCGCAGGCAGACAUCGCUAAUCGCCGAGGACGCGCUGCGAUAAGGGCCCGUUAUCGCGCUGCGGUGGCGGUGUCCGAUCGCUGUCAGCUCAGAGCAAGGCCAGGGCCAUCCAGGAGGGCAGGACCCAGUCUUGAGAACCGCUUUGGCGAGGGCUAGGGACACCUGUCACAACCGAAAGUGUUCAAUCAGUGGAAUAUCCUCCGGAUGUUAAAUGCCAGGCUAGCGAGAAGCCGCGCGCUUGGUUCAGGAAGUGUGCAGAUACAUCGUACAGCUUGUACACAGCAGCCUGAUGAGAGCUUUAUAAAUCACCUUAGAUCUUCCGAGUCCUUCGGAGAGCUGUGUGGCUGCUAUAACCCUCGAGUGCUGCUUACCACGGGACAAAUGAAGCCUUGGGGGUCUGGGAACAACCUCUCAGAAGCAGUAAAACCUUCUCUGCUAUCAACAACCCUCAUUCCCAAGUUAUCCAUAUGUAGGGAAGAUUCCAAUGAGUAGAAUUUGAUGGAUUUUGGGAUCCAUAAACGCCUACUGUGGAAUAUAGGAGGAAUCUAGCCUGCUCCAACCACGACCACCGAGGAAACACACUCCACUUAACUAAAAACAGGCCAUAAAGAUAUACAUAAACUUGUCUGUGAAUGCAGCCACCCAAAGUGAUGGUUCAGGUGUCAAAUGAUUGCACAGAAUGGUUAUGGCACAUCUGACAAGAAGGCCUACUGGACAUAGAUCUACCUAAUCAAAACCAUCCCACAAUUAGACAUGUGUUAGUGUAAUUACUAAUGAUUAGCAAAUCACGUCUGAACAUUUUUUUGCAAGAACUGUUGCUGUAAGCCUGACAGAUUAACCUCAUUUCACCUGCCUGGUGCUGAACCCUGUAAACCCAGUGGAUGUCUGUACAUACAUGGCAGUAUACUCUUGUCCCUGCUCUGCACCUGCAGGCUCCAGCCACUAUGCAGUGUCUUCUCUUUGAUUACUUGUCAAAAUACUCCAUCCUGGCAUCUCUCUUCCCUUCCUUCCCUUUCUCACCAAGGCAUUCAACUCACAGAGCUCUCUUUCUUGUCUGGAAAAAUAAAUAGGAGAAUGAAUCCAUGUUAGAACUAACUCAGCAAAAAAAUACUGCUUUGUGUCAAAUUUAAUGGGUUUCCUCUCCAGCUCAGUAUAUGGCUCUAAGACUAGCAGUGGCAGGAAGGAUGGGGAUAGGGAUGGGGAUGUUGAGGGCAGCAGCAGUGCCCAGGGCUGGGGGAGUGCAGGGUCAUUUCUUUCUCUGGCAGUGCUGGCUCAAAGUGCUUGUGUAACUGCAGGGUGCAGUGACAAGAGCAGCUUGAGCUGAUCAAAGGAUGCCUUUUAUCAGCUCCUGUUGGCUCUCAUGCUGUUGGUGAGUGCUGUUCCUUUACCUUUCUCUUCUUCUGUCCUACUUUGUGACCUGCCCAAGGGCAUAGGUUCCUACUGUCCCCUUCCAGCUUUCCCCCUGCCCCUUGCAUUAUCUCCCAUAAUCACUCCUUCACCUGGCUAAUCUGAAGGAAAAAUUGGGGGGGAGGCCAGCUUUCUGCUGAAUCAACCAACUCCCUCCACAGGCUGGGACUGUGACAGCUGAUGCGUGACAGUGUUUAUCUUCUCUGUUCAGUAUUUGGCCUGCCCAGAUUCCUGACCUGCCUCUACCCAGCUGCAGGAAGGGCAGUGCUGUUGCAAUGGCAAAGCGUUAGGGUUUGUUAGGGUUACAUGGGCAGAAACUCAAGGGAGAGCUCAUAAAUACUGACAUGCACUGAAGCGGUGCGCUCUGCUGCAGAAAAAAGACAAGACAAUCUUAAAAAGCACUUCUGCAUUAUUUAAGACAUGAACAGCUUGUCUUUCUUAACUCUUACCAGCUGGGUUUGAAGCAGUACAGCUACAACAAAAGGUACAACAUGAACUACACAGUAUUUUUCAGCCUGCAGUAUUUGAUUCCUUCAAGAUUUUGGGCUGUUGGUGGAGAGUUCUGGGAAAAUGACCAAGGCAAGCUUGUUGCCAGUAGGCUUCCACUUGCCAUAUGCAUACCUGCACAUGUACUGAAGAACAGUAUCUGGCUUUCAAAUAAUAGUUGUUCUCCUCAGCAGGCUCCAGCAGCAGCAGCAGCACUGGACUCAACUUACAUCACAGGGUCUCAAAUAAAAGAGUCAAUAUGAA